GUAGAUUUAGGCUAGAGAUCAGGAUGCACUACUUCAGUCAGGGAGGCUAGGAUCUGGAACCAACUUCCAAGAGAAGGUGUGCUGGCUGCUACCCUGAGGGUCUUUAAGAGGAGACUAGAUGUACACCUUACUGGGGUCGUUUGACUUCAGUACUUUUUCCUGACAUGGCAGGUGUUGGACUCGAUCUGCUCAGGUCCCUUCUGACCCUAGACACUAUGAAACUACAAGCCCAAAGAUGUUGCGGGGCAUCCAGGAUCAGGGCUGAGCAUGCUGCUCCCUGCUGGGGCUAAUGGUAAUGGUAGCUAGGAGCCAUCCCAGUCCUGCUGCGUACUCAGGGGGCUGCAAGACAUGCCAUGGCCAUGUGGUGCCUCAGCCAGGCAGGACCAAGGGACCUGCCAGUUGGAUUUGGUUCGCAGGCCAUAUUUUGCCCACCCCUGAGUUAGGAGAAAGGAAGCUAGUUUCCUCAAAGGAGAAUGAAUAUCACUUUAAAAAAAUAGAGCAAUGGUGGAAGGGAGGUAAACUUGUUUGCAGGAAAAGACUUAUUCCUUUGCUAGCUUUUACUUUUAAAUUGUAAGUUUUUUGAGACCUCCAUAUUUCACUGUGAUUUUCAAGGUAUUCAGGCCUAUUGCUAUGAUGGCAGAGGACCUCUCCAAGGUUCAUAGAACUCCAUUCUUCAUUUGAUUUUUGGAGGGUCAGGAAUAGAAAACAGUACCAGCUGUAUGGGCUGAAUAGUGUUCCAUCACAAACGCAACCAAUUUUUCAUGGGCCUUUAUCUGCUGAACAGUAUUGCCUACCAAAGCCUCCUAAUAUUUAGGGCCCCGAGGCAAACUUGGCUGUUGCAUGAGCCAAAAGGCGCUGCUGCCAGCGGGAUCACAGCCUCGCCCUCCGCACGGGCGGAGUUGGGGCACAGCGCUCUUCAGCGGGACUUGGGACAGAUCGCUGAGGUGCGGCUGGCGCUGGGACUGCGGCUGCUAGGAGAUGGGAAGCAAGAGCCUGCUCUCCAGCAUCCUCCUGUUUGCUGUGUUAAUGCCUGGAAGAGGCGAGCAUCUGCGAAGCUGCCAGGAUGUUCUGAAAGUCUUCCAGCUGCGGAAGAUUGGGGCCAUCAAGGGAUUCCCGGAGACCCCCCGAGCAGGUGA
rnacentral:lncRNA from 1 species